rnacentral:rRNA from 1 species
CGGCGGACGGGUGAGUAACGCGUGGGUAACCUGCCUCAUACAGGGGGAUAACAGUUAGAAAUGACUGCUAAUACCGCAUAAGCGCACAGUACCACAUGGUACGGUGUGAAAAACUCCGGUGGUAUGAGAUGGACCCGCGUCUGAUUAGCUAGUUGGUGGGGUAACGGCCCACCAAGGCGACGAUCAGUAGCCGACCUGAGAGGGUGAUCGGCCACAUUGGGACUGAGACACGGUCCAA